rnacentral:rRNA from 1 species
AGUGAACGCUGGCGGUAGGCCUAACACAUGCAAGUCGAACGGCAGCACAGUAAGAGCUUGCUCUUACGGGUGGCGAGUGGCGGACGGGUGAGGAAUACAUCGGAAUCUACUUUUUCGUGGGGGAUAACGUAGGGAAACUUACGCUAAUACCGCAUACGACCUACGGGUGAAAGCAGGGGAUCUUCGGACCUUGCGCGAUUGGAUGAGCCGAUGUUGGAUUAGCUAGUUGGGGGGGUAAAGGCCCACGAGGGCGACGAUCCGUAGCUGGUCUGAGAGGAUGAUCAGCCACACUGGAACUGAGACACGGUCAAGACUCCUACGGGAGGCAGCAGUGGGGAAUAUUGGACAAUGGGCGCAAGCCUGAUCCAGCCAUACCGCGUGGGUGAAGAAGGCCUUCGGGUUGUAAAGCCCUUUUGUUGGGAGAGAAAAGCAGCAGGUUAAUACCCCGCUGUUCUGACGGUACCCAAAGAAUAAGCACCGGCUAACUUCGUG